AUUGGCUAACAUAAUUGAAACAUAAUUGAAUUGUUAUUAAAUUUUCUACUGAAAAAGCAAAAUUAUAGUAUGAUUUUAGUUUACAGAGGUUUCUAAUAACGAAACAUAUAUUUAUAUUGUAUAACAUUUGUUAGACAUUAGUUAAAUACAAACUAAUAAUAUUAUAAUUAUAAUAAUCAUAUACGUCAGACAAAACUUGGUCUCUAUCAUCAUUAUUGUCAUGCUGUUCAUUUUUCUUGCAUCCCCUGCUAUUCGGUCCACCAGGAGUCAAGUACGUGACUGCAUUGAAGAGAGAAAAGGAGACGGAAAUAACCGGGACCGCACUAUUCAUAUAUUUGCGUUACACAGAUUGCGUUACACAACGAAUCCUAACUUUUCGAUUGAAGCGUCUAACUACGGACGAGUUGACUAACAUCACCUGAACAUUUAGAGCCUUACUCCUAUAAUCAGAUUGUAUUCCAGAUCUGUAUAGAUCGUACAACCUAUUUGCUUCCGAGAAUUAGGUUCAUAUUUUAGGUUAUGUGGCAUGAUGUUAAACUAUGUUCUACACAUACCAAAUGCAUUUUCUGUAAUGAAAUCUUUCAACAAUAGAGAAUGGAUCUUUGGAGCUAUGGAAUAAAUUGUCACAUUUGAAUGAAUUUGGCUCACUCUACGAUAUUACAGACUACAAAUACUAAGAUACCAGAUGAGUUUGAUAAUGUUAAUCAUGUUAGAUUGAAUGUAUUAAUGCGAUACAAUUAUCAGGACAUCAAACUAUAGGAAAUUUACAAUGAAAGAAGAAUCUACAUACGUGUUAACAGCAAUCAUUAAAUAAAAGUAUUAGAAUUGAAUGAAAGCAUUAAAAUUGAAAAUUCACAAAAA